GGGAUCGAGCGCGAGUGAUUUCCGGGAUUUGCGAGUUAUCGAGAUACGCGAGGUGAGUCUUCUCACUAUACUUUACCUUGAGUAGGUAAUCAGAGUUAUGUGACAGAGUAUUUGUAUGCUAUAUGUAUGUUAUGUGUUGUACUGCAUUAUUUCUAUGUGAUUUAUGUUGUGCAUGUUUAUAGAGUUGGAACCGGAAGGUUCACAGAGUUAGAACCAGAGGGUUCACAGAGUAGGGUCCACGGACCCACAGAGUUAUAGCCUCGAGUGGCUAAUAUGUGUUAUGUGUGGUAUUUUGGGGAACUCACUAAGCUUUAUGCUUACAGUGUUGGUGUUAUUUGUUUCAGGUACUAGUGAUGACCGUGGGAAGGCGCCGGCUUGAUCAAUACACACACAUGGGAUUUCUUUUAUGAUAUGUGAUCUUGGGAUUCUUUGUAUAACAUGGAUUGGAGUUUCGAACAUUGAUGUUUUUAUGAAAAUUAAAUGAAUAUGUUUUUAUAUUAUGCGAAAAAUUAUUUUGAAAUUCACGGUGUUACAAGUUGGUAUCAGAGCCUUGGUUUGAGGGAUUCGAGUACACCUUCGGGCGUAUUUGAACUCAAACUGAGGAUUUGAGAAGUAUUUUCAAAAAGAGUAAAAGAUUUUUGGAAGAACGCAGAGCAGAGUUGUGUGUACGAUCAGUCCGCGCCCGAACGGUGAUUUCCCAAAAUACCCUCAUGUUAUGUGAUAUUGAUAUUGAUAUGAUGUAUUCUCAUGCUAGAGUAGGCUAGGUACUCCUAUUAGGACUAGAGUGGCCUGAUUUGUAAUGCUUUAAUCUAGGGAGAGGUGAGCCUCUAUGAGAUGCUUGAGAGUGAGUAGGUAGCAGCGAGGGGCUUAUGAGAGAUCUGUUAGAGAAUGGAUUGUGCAUGAUAGAGUACUUGGAAUUAGGAUCCGAAGAAGAGGACAUGGGGUGUAUUCUGAUACGGUGCAGACAGUAGUAUUGGGCCCGUACUACUGAAAGCACCGGAGCGGUGUACAGCCCAAGUAGGAAUCUUUGGAAUACCAAGGAUCAAGGAGGGAUGAGUUGUCGAGUGUGAGUAUGCUCGAAUGGAUUCUAAUUUAUCGUAUGUUGUAUUUCAGAGGUAGAUCAUGGUGAGGACACGUCUGAUGCUUGAGAGAUGUGGGGCCAAUGAUGAGGUGAUCCGUCGGAUCAUCCAUGAGGAGGUGGUUGUGGCCAUCAGGGCAGAGAUACCAGAGAUGUUUGGGUCUAUUAAGACCACAUUGAUUGAGACCUUCGACGAGCGUUAUGCCGCUCUUUCUAAGGCUGCUGUUGCAGCGGCCACCACAGCUAUUGCUACUGCGAGGCCGCAGGGUGGUGAUGCGUUGCUGUUCCGAGAGUUCAGCAACACAAAACCGCCAGAGUUUGAUGGGACCCAGGACCCGGUGGCGGCUAUGAGAUGGAUUUCUGACAUAGAGGGGUGUUUCUUCACUUGCUCAUCUCCUGAGCAUUUGAGAGUUCGGUUCGCGCUGAACCAGCUUCGCUUGGGAGCGAAGGACUGGUGGAAGUUUGUGACGGCGCACUUUACGCCUGCUGAGCUUGCGGCAGUGACCUGGGAGAGGUUCACUGCCAUGUUCCGAGAUGAGUACGUUCCCCAGGUGGAGAGGGAGCGUUUGGCCCAGGAGUUUCUGACCCUCAAGCAGGGUACUGAGUCUGUUACGGUGAUUACCAGGAUGUUCCAUGAGAGGGCGAUGUUCUGCCCUGAGCACGUGUCCACUGAGCAGGCACGUAUGAGCCGAUAUUUGAGUAUCUUGAGGCGAGACAUUCGGGAGUUCGCGGCGAACUCCUCGUACCGGACAUUUGCCGAGCUUCAGGCAAAUGCCCGGAAGAGGGAGAUUGAGCUAGAGACUCAGGCCAGGGAGGAGGCGGAGUCUCAGGGGAGGGAUCGGCGACCGGCACAGUCUCAGCCGGCAGCCAAGCGGGCCAAGCCCGCUGAUCCCAAACCAGGGAGCCAGAAGGGCCGCACUUGUGGGAAGUGUGGCAAGGGUCAUGAUGGAGUCUGUAGAGCGGGAUCUUGCUACAAGUGUGGCAAGGAGGGGCAUAUGGCCAAGGACUGCCCCAAGGGGUUUGCGGUGUGUUUUCACUGCAACCAGACCGGACACCGGAAGGCAGAGUGUCCGCAGUUGCGAGGAUCAUCUCAGGGAGCACCUCAGGGAUCUUCCCCUGCCGCCAUCAGAGCUACAGAGAGUCGGCCAGUGAAGGCCGAGGCGCCGAGGGCACGAGGGAGAGCUUUUCAGUUGACCGCGGAGGAGGUCCGCGCAGCGCCCGAUGUCGUGGCUGGUAUGUAUUCUUUCAUGUAUUUAUUUUGAUGUUGAGAUAUUAUGCUUAUAUUAUGUUAUGCGUAGGUACUUUUCUUGUGAAUUCUGUACCUGCCUUGGUGUUAUUUGACUCGGGUGCGAGUCGGUCUUUUGUAUCUUUGGCUUUUAGUCAGCAUAUCAGUGUUAGUCGUGAGGCGUUGAGUCGGCCUCUGAGAGUUUCCAUAGCUGAUGAGAGGGUGAUAUAUGCCACGGAGGUUCUCCGAGGUUGCGUAGUCGAGAUUUUCGGUGUUGAGUUCCCGAUUGAUCUGGUUCCUAUUGCGAUGGGUGAUGUCUGUGUCAUUGUGGGCAUGGACUGGUUGAGCAGAUUCGGUGCGGUUAUCGACUGCGAGCGACAGCUGGUGACCAUACGAGACCCUAGUGGGGGAGUUCUUUCGGUGUACGGCGAGGGUACACGUUCAGGAUCAGCGUUUUGUUCGGCCGCUAGGGCGAGGCAGUGUCUACAGCAGGGCUGUAAGGGUUUUGUGGCGUAUGUGAUGGAUACGCGGGUGGAUUCCGAGAGGCCGAGUUCAGUUGAGGAGGUUCCGGUGGUGCGUGAGUUCCCGGAUGUAUUUCCCGAGGAGUUGCCGGGUGUGCCUCCUGUGAGGCAAGUGGAGUUCAGUAUCGAUUUGGUUCCAGGGGUUGCGCCUAUCGCUACGGUGCCUUAUCGCCUUACACCUCCAGAGAUGCGAGAGUUAUCCUCGCAUCUUCAGGAGCUGCUGGGAAAGGGGUUUAUUCGGCUGAGCAGCUCGCCGUGGGGAGCGCCUAUCCUAUUUGUCAAGAAGAAGGAUGGUUCACACCGGAUGUGCAUUGAUUACCGGGAGUUGAACAAGCUGACGGUCAAGAACCGUUACCCGUUGCCGAGGAUCGAUGAUUUAUUCGAUCAGUUGCAGGGAGCAUCUUGGUUUUCCAAGAUCGAUUUGAGGUCUGGAUAUCAUCAGGUGAGGGUGCGGGAUGAGGACGUCCAGAAGACAGCGUUUAGGACGCGUUAUGGGCAUUAUGAGUUUGUGGUGAUGCCUUUCGGGCUCACCAAUGCCCCGGCAGUGUUCAUGGAUCUCAUGAACCGAGUGUGCAGGCCGAUGCUGGAUCGGUCGGUGAUUGUAUUUAUCGACGACAUUCUGGUAUAUUCGAGAUCUAGAGAGCAGCAUGAGGAGCAUUUGAGAGAGGUUCUCGGAGUUCUGAGAUCGGAGAGGCUUUAUGCCAAAUUCUCCAAGUGUGAUUUCUGGUUGCGGGAGGUCCAGUUCUUAGGACAUCUCGUUAACCAGAAAGGGAUAUUGGUCGAUCCGGCCAAGGUUGAGGCGGUGAUGAGUUGGGAGGUGCCGAGGUCACCCUCCGAGAUCAGGAGUUUCCUAGGGUUGGCAGGGUAUUAUCGGAGGUUUAUCAAGGAUUUCUCUAAGAUCGCAGUGCCACUCACCAGAUUGACCCGGAAGGGUGUUGCUUUUUCAUGGGGCCCCGAGCAGCAGGCCUCCUUUGAGACACUUCGCCAAAGGUUAUGCGAAUGACCGGUGUUAGACCUCCCGGAAGGGAUGGAGGAUUUUGUGGUAUACUGUGACGCAUCGAUUUUGGGGUUGGGGGCGGUGCUGAUGCAGAGAGGGCAUGUGAUAGCAUAUGCAUCGAGGCAGCUGAAGCCUGAUGAGAUGAGAUAUCCCGCCCAUGAUCUAGAGUUGGGGGUAGUGAUGUUCGCCCUCAAGAUUUGGCGUCACUACCUGUAUGGGGUUCGGUGUACGAUAUACACGGACCAUAAGAGUUUGAAAUAUUUGAUGGAUCAGCCCAACCUAAAUAUGCGACAGAGAAGGUGGUUGGAUGUGGUCAAGGAUUAUGAUUGUGAGAUCCUGUACCACCCAGGCAAGGCUAAUGUUGUAGCCGAUGCAUUGAGCCGCAGGGCGGAGAGCACCCCGCUGCGGGAUGUAUGUUUGAGAUUGACCGUGAUAGCUCCAGUGUUGGACGCCAUUCGUGGGGCACAGGCCGAGGCUGUGCAACCUGAGAUGCAGAAGAAAGAGCGGGUUGUUGGUUUGGUUUCAGAGUUCGUUACCGAUGGUCGGGGGCUUAUGACAUUUCAGGGGCGUAUCUGGGUGCCGUUUGUGGGAGGAACGCGUACCAUUUUGAUGGAAGAGGCUCAUCGGUCGAAAUUUUCGAUCCAUCCNAUGACUAUUUAUAGGGAAAAGACAAGUCUUGGGCUUUUAACCUAGAAUUCAUCAAAGGGGCCCAUUGCCAUCAUCCAUGGAGUGCUUUGAAACCCUACAAUCUCCCCCUCAAAGUAUGGAAUGGAUGACAAUGCUUUAACUUCCAAAACAAGCAUCUAGCAAAUAAAAAGAUCUGCAACGAGGAAUAUAUGAAGCAAUCCACGAAUCUUGAUUCUUCAAUAGUCUUCAAACACAGGCUCUAGGAUAUAUAAAUCAAGCACUGAAGUAAUGUCUUUAAACUUCAUUUUCGAAUGUAAUCCCAAAGAAUCUUCAUGAAAACCAAACCCGCCAUAAAAACCCAUUUCAGAACAAAGAAACUGAAUCACUUCUUGUCUUUGAAGAGCUCCCCCUCCAAGUCACAACGAUCUUCAAAUAAGCUAAUGAUAUAAGCCAUCAAAAAAUAUCAUGUAACAACCCAAACUUUAAGAUUCGUAACGCCACUUGAUCGAGAAAAUACAAGAAGUCGGAGAUAUAACAAGUCCUUAGCAGAGUUCGAUGAAGAACUUCUGCUGUAAAGGAUACUUCUCUGUAAAAGCUUUAGCAGAGCUCGAUGAAGAACUUCCGCUGUAAAAGCUACCUUCAUAAUUCUACCACAAGCUUUAUCAAAAUCUUCAACUUUGAAAAGUCACAAAUCCAAUUUCGAAUGCCCAUACCAAAUUCUCCCCCGAUUUAUAAUCAAAAACAUGAUUAUAAAGCCUUCAAAUGGUCAUGAGAAUGAUCUUGAAUGGAUAAAAAUUUACUAAGCUCCCCCGUGACAAAAUGAUAUUAACGAUGAAGUAUAAAAUCCGAAAAAGUCGUGAAAAUUUGACGUUAUCACGAAAAACGACUUUCCGAACCGCCAAGACUUGAUGGAAUCUUUAUUUUUCUGUUCACAAAAAAAUAUGUGCGUUAAAAAAUCCAAAACUGUUCACCGACCCUUAAAUUUGUAAUCUUUUCUAAAUAUAGGGCAGAAACUGUCACUUUCCAGAAAGUCAGGGGCUAGAAUGGUAAUACAGCAUCAAUAUACCCCUUUAUUUGUAACAAUUUCUGAAUAUAAUUCAGAAGUGCCAAGUCAUGAUAAAUUCAAGGACCAGAAACAUCAAAUCCCUAAAGUUUCAGGGACUGAAAUUGAAACUUUAAUAUCUUCAUUCCCAUUUGAUUAAAUACGACGAACAGCAACAUCGACUUAAUUCCAAAGACCGAUUCCAAUUAAUCCCACUUAUACUUUCGUUCCAAGAAUAAAGAUGCGAAUCCAAGCACAAUCACACGAACCCAAGUUCGUUUCAAGUUCGUCGAUUAUACCCCAAAGCGAAUAUUUUUUUUUUCGUUCCCGAUUUCUCACCUUUUCGUUCCGAAUCAACAGACCAAAGAGAAUCGAUAUCCAUACCGAAUCCAAUAAGAGGUUCGCUUUCUGUUCUCCCCUCUUUCAUUCGUUCACAUGCCACUUCCGAUUACAAUUUCAAUUAUGAAGGCAGAGAGCCCUAUUACCCCAAUUUUGACUUUUGCAUUGACCAAUGUUCAUCCCAGUUGAUAUUCGAUUCGUACGCAGGUAAAGGACAUUCGUUUGUUCGUAGUGAGAUCGUUCGUAUCAUGAGUUACAUAAUUUUAAUUUUGACUUUUUGCUUGACUUGACAGUUGCGAACAGAUCCUCAACACAUUCUGGUUGAGUUCAAUUACAUUCGUUCCGAUCAUCACUCACUGAUUGCGAAUUCAUUUGUUUUGAUUGUUUGAAGCCUCGAUAGCAAUACCCGCUUGGUGAUUUCGAACAGAACUUCAAAGGCAAUUCCGAAUGCAGUGAACUUCCAAUUCUAAUAGAAAUUCCGACUAUGGUUCAAGAGCCGAACACAUCCACAUCGAUUCUGUUAUCCCAAUUUCAAAUGGUUUCGAUUUUGGCUUUUUUUGGUUUCACCAUUCAAAUUGAGAUACAGUCCAAUUUAUUCGUUCAUCAUUUGUUCAUUAUAAGAGUCCGAGAUGUGUAUUUAACAAACACCCAAUCUAUACUCCAAAGAUCGAUUUCUUUCACAAAUCAUCAAUAAUUUUCAAAGAUCGAUACAGAUCUUAAAAAAUUAAAUUGACUAUAGGAAUAAGGAAACCGAAGAAAAAUGUGAUCUUGGACUAAAACAAACAGAAAUCGAUUGAUUUUCGUACAUCAACAAGCAAGAACCCCAAACAAACCAUCGAUUAUUAGUAUUUGACAAAUAAGGAAAACCAAACUGGAUGAAUGAAAACACAAAGAAGUGACGCAAACAGGAGCAUUCGAUAUUAUAUUGAGGCUAAAGAGAUGGAUCGUGAACAGUGAAAGUUUGGGCCAGAUCAAAAAGAGUGGAUUCAUAAUUGACAUUUGAUUGAAUUAAUAAACUGUUCCAAUCAUAAAUACGAUCAGAAAAAACAAAUUGGAUUAACAGAAAAUUACCCCGAUGAACAUAAAUUUUCAUGAACAGUUGCUUGAACAGAAUUUUGAUUCCAAGACGCCAAAACACCAAUAAUCUUCAAUAACUUGUGCAGAAAAUCAUCAAAUCAAGAACCGAUACUUCAAAAAUCAAUCAAUAGAUCUUCAAAGACCCGCUCUGAUACCACUUGUUGGGAUUAAAACCCUAAUUGAGAUUUGAUGAACAAGAUGCGGAACAUAAGAACAAACACAAAUAUGAAGAUUAUGUCGAAUGAUCACUCGAUUUAUUCAAAUAUGAGGAAUAAAUUACACUUUCAGCAUAGACGAAAGAAUCUAACACUACAUAAGAAACCUCACGUGGCGGCUACAUUUUGCCUCACUCUCUUAACCCUAAUAAUGAAUAAUACAUGACUAUUUAUAGGAAAAAGACAAGUCUUGGGUUUUUAACCUAGAAUUCAUCAAAGGGCCCCAUUGCCAUCAUCCAUGGAGUGCUUUGAAACCCUACACAAGUAUUAUGAUUGUGAGAUCCUGUACCACCCAGGCAAGGCUAAUGUUGUUGCCAAUGCACUGAGCUGCAGGGCGGAGAGCAUCCCACUGCGGGAUGUAUGUUUGAGAUUGAUCGUGAUAGCUCCAGUGUUGGACGCCAUUCGUGGGGCACAGGCCGAGGCUGUGCAACCUGAGAUGCAGAAGAAAGAGCGGGUUGUUGGUUUGGUUUCAUAGUUCGUUACCGAUGGUCGGGGGCUUAUGACAUUUCAGGGGCGUAUCUGGGUGCCGUUUGUGGGAGGAACGCGUACAAUUUUGAUGGAAGAGGCUCAUCGGUCGAAAUUUUCGAUCCAUCCUGGGGCCACUAAGAUGUAUUUGGACCUGAGGAAGGCGUAUUGGUGGCCCUGUAUGAAGAGGGAUGUUGCGUGGUUUGUUGAGAGGUGCUUGACCUGUCGUAGGGUUAAGGCCGAGCACCAGAGGCCGCAUGGUAAGUUGCAACCGUUGGAGGUUCCCGAAUGGAAGUGGGAACAGAUCACCAUGGAUUUUAUCACCAAAUUGCCAAGGACUGCCAGGGGAGUUGAUGCAAUUUGGGUGAUUGUGGACAGGUUGACGAAGAGCGCUCACUUUCUUGCUAUCAGCGAGAGUUCUUCAGCAGAGAAAUUGGCAGAGGUGUACGUGAGGGAAGUGGUAUCUCGGCAUGGGGUGCCGAUCUCGAUUGUUUCAGACCGAGAUGUGCGUUUCACUUCCAGAUUCUGGAAGAAGUUUCAUGAGGAGUUGGGUACUAGGCUGCAUUUUAGUACCGCAUAUCAUCCCCAGACAGACGGUCAGAGUGAGCGGACGAUUCAGACGCUCGAGGACAUGCUCCGGGCAUGUGUGUUGGAUUUCGGGGGUAGUUGGGAUGCAUAUUUGCCCUUGGCAGAGUUUUCCUACAACAACAGCCAUCAUUCGAGCAUUGGUAUGCCGCCCUUUGAGCUGUUGUAUGGGAGGAGGUGUCGGACCCCCAUUUGUUGGGGAGAGGUUGGACAGCGUGUGAUGGGCAGUACAGAGAUCGUGCUUCAGACGACAGAGCAGAUCCAGCCGGUCAGACAGAGGUUGUUGACCGCUCAGAGUCGUCAGAAGAGCUAUGCAGACAGACGCCGGUCCGAGCUUGAGUUUCAGGUCGGCGACCUUGUACUCCUGAAGGUCUCUUCUUGGAAAGGAGUGAUUCGAUUCAGGAAGAGGGGCAAAUUAGGGCCCCGAUAUAUUGGUCCAUUUUGAGUGAUCGCGAGGGUAGGCCGGGUAGCCUAUCGUUUGGAUUUGCCAGCAGAGUUGGGGCAGAUUCACAACACUUUCCAUGUGUUGCAACNCACAACACUUUCCAUGUGUCGCAACUGAGGAAGUGUAUAGCCGAUGAGUCGGCAGUGGUUCCAUUAGAGGAUAUUCAGGUAGAUGCGAGCCUGAAAUUAUGUUGAGAGACCAGUGGCAAUCAGAGAUCGGAAAAUCAAGGUUCUGAGGAACAAGGAGGUACCCUUGGUUUUGGUUCAGUGGCAACAUCGUAAGGGGUCCGAGAUGACUUGGGAGCCGGAACGUGAGAUGCGUGCGCAGCAUCCGGAGUUAUUUGCAGAGCGAGACUUCGAGGGCGAAGUCUAGUUCUAGUGGCGGAGAAUUGUAACAGCCCGGAUUCCCAGGUAUUAUUUAUUCUUAUAAUUUUUGGUGAUUUGUGAGGAGACUCGGCGAGUUAGAGCUCAGACUCGCCGAGUAGGAUCGCGGUUCUGGACGCGGGUUUGCGCCUGGACUCGGCGAGUCCAAGGAAUGGACUCGGUGAGUCCGCNCAGGGUAUGAGUCCUAUUUAAAGGGACUUAUGGCCGUCAUUUGCGGCCACCAACCCCAGAGAGAACCCUAAAGAGUCCUUGAGCGUUUUGUGAGAGAGAAGAGGAAUAUCCUUGACUAUUUGUGGGUGUUUUGCAUUUAGAAGAGGAUCAAGGAAAGAGGAGACCAAAAGAGGUGCUAAUCCAGUGAUUUUCGAGCUCAGAGACUUCAUUUGAGGUAACCAUUCGUUCCUUUCUCAUUCCUUGGUGUAAAUCUUAGAGUUAAGGUUUCUUGGUGGAAAGAUCCAUGGAGUAAUUGGCCGCUUUUUGUGUUGGUGCUUUAGAUCUGGACCCAAAGAGGUCAGAGACUCUUUUCCCUCAAGCUUUAUGAGUGUUAAUGGAGGCCAUGAGCUUAGAAUAGCAUUCUAGAGACCAUAUCAUCAAAUAAGGCCUUUGGACCUUUGCAUGAGCACCAAGAUUGUAACUUUACGUGAUGAAUGUGCUUGGAAGGACUGGAUCUAUGAGUUACUGGAACAGAUCUGACCUCAGGAGUGAGUUUGAGUUCAUGCAUGGCUUAGACUCGUCGAGUCCGAAGAACAGACUCGGCGAGUAGCAUGAAGAUUGUCCAUAACCACUCAGCGAGUGGUCUUGCCGAGUUAAGGGGUUGACUCAGUGAGUCAGGGAGAGUUAGAGUGGAUUGACAGGUGGACUGAGUCGAGCUGGAACUCGCCGAGUUGUUCUUGAGACUCGGCGAGUUGAGUCAUGGUGGCCCCGCGAUUCAUGCCAGGUGGAACUCGUCGAGUCAGGGAAGUACUCGACGUGUCAAGAGAGGAUCCUAGGGAGUCAGUGAACACGUAUAGACUCGCCGAGUCGCUCUAGUGCACUCGCCGAGUCCGGUCAAAGUUGACCGUUGACCGUUGACCAGAGUUGACCAGUGUUGACUUGAUAGGGGUAGUCAACCUUAGUUGUGAAAGUGUUAAUUAGAGAUAUAUUGUGUUAUAGGAGGAUUAUAGCUUGGGGGAUCGAGCGCGAGUGAUUUCCAGGAUUUGCGAGUUAUCGAGAUACGCAAGGUGAGUCUUCUCACUAUACUUUACCUUGAGUAGGUAAUCAGAGUUAUGUGACAAAGUAUUUGUAUGCUAUAUGUAUGUUAUGUGUUGUACUGCAUUAUUUCUAUGUGAUUUAUGUUGUGCAUGUUUAUAGAGUUGGAACCGGAAGGUUCCCAGAGUUAGAACCAGA
rnacentral:lncRNA from 1 species